rnacentral:rRNA from 1 species
UACGUAGGGUGCAAGCGUUGUCCGGAAUUAUUGGGCGUAAAGAGCUCGUAGGCGGUUUGUUGCGUCGGCUGUGAAAUCCCGAGGCUCAACCUCGGGUCUGCAGUCGAUACGAGCAAACUAGAGUGUUGCAGGGGAGACUGGAAUUCCUGGUGUAGCGGUGAAAUGCGCAGAUAUCAGGAGGAACACCGGUGGCGAAGGCGGGUCUCUGGGCAACAACUGACGCUGAGGAGCGAAAGCGUGGG